GACAUGGCUCAGGAUGAACGCUGGCGGCGUGCUUAACACAUGCAAGUCGAGCGAAGCACUUUGCUUUGAUUUCUUCGGGAUGAAGAGCUUAGUGACUGAGCGGCGGACGGGUGAGUAACGCGUGGGUAACCUGCCUCAUACAGGGGGAUAACAGUUAGAAAUGACUGCUAAUACCGCAUAAGGCCACAGCACCGCAUGGUGCAGGGGUAAAAACUCCGGUGGUAUGAGAUGGACCCG
rnacentral:rRNA from 1 species